GUUGGGGUAGCUCAAUUGGUAGAGCGCAUGUUUUACAUGAGGUCAGCAGUUCGAAUCCGUUUCCCGGCUCAA
rnacentral:tRNA from 1 species